rnacentral:lncRNA from 1 species
GGAUUUCAGUGUUAGCUGCCCUCUCUCCUUGCUCAGUGCUGUGCAAUAAUAAAAUUCCUACUUUCUUCCACCACUACAUCCUGUGUUGGAGAUUGGCUUGCUGCACAAAAGGAUGGGAAUCUUGAGCAAGAAGGGAGCUCUUCUGAGAAAAAUGCCAACACUGAGGAAAUCAUUCCUGAAAGAUGGAGAGCACAAUAAUAGUAAAAGACAUCAACUGUCGUCUUGGAUCCAAUUAUCCUCGAAACAAAACAAACCUCCUGGAUUUUUCAUUAUGUGAACCAAUUGAUUAAGCUAGUUUGUGUUGGUUUCUGUUCUUUACAACCAACUGUAUUGACUAACACACCAAUAAAUGGAAUCUACAAAGCAAAUCAACC